GAACGCAAGCGGCUCCCCCAAGGGAAGGCACACCUCCCAGGAACAGGUGCGUCAGCUCACAUUCGUAAACAGCAGUCAGGGACAAAAUAGGGGUUAUAACUAGAGAUCUAUAGUUGUAUAAAUUAAUUCACUUACAUUAUUUGAAAAUUGGAUAUCCACAAAAGUUAACCAGAACACAUAAUGCACCAGAACCCCCUUUUCUCACCCAGUUUAGCUGCUCACCAUGAUAAUGUUCUGACCUCAAAGCAGGCCACACAAGGCAGGGAUUGCCCUGGGAAGCCACAUUUUAAACAGCUCUCUCCACCGCCAUCGACCAAACAGCAAACAGGCCUUGGAAACCACAUGUAGGACGUGUACACUGCUGUCCGAUCAAUCGCCAUUAGGAUGAAUGGCUCUGGCCGCUGUAAGUCCGACACCCUCAGAUUGUACAUCAUGAAGGAGAUCUUGAUGAAAGAAUGGAAACACUGACGCCCUGAGUGGUUGAAGAUCAUGCUGAUGCAUUUGAGAACUCUGGAGCCCCAGCUUCCCACCACUUUGCUGCCUGCCUCCCUGUGAACGCUCCCGCCGGGUCUCUCAAAUCACUUGCAUUAUGGCGCAGAAGAGAAAGGGAAAGGGUCCCGGCUGGCCCCGGCCCCGAUGGUGCCCCGCAGCCUCCCUCAUCAGUGCUGCACACCAGCAAAGAUUUUUCAAUGUCUGAUUUUAUUAUCUACUUACAGAAUGCUUUCAUGACUAUUACAUCAAAAAUUAGCUGAGCUAUUUUUCCUCCAAGAAUUUCCUUUCCCAUAUAACCAGAUACCAGCUGUCCCCUUACCCAGGGUAUGCUGUGGCUGACCCUGAAGAGCCGGGGCAGUUAGCAAUGCCAUUAGGCUGCUAGCGACAGACUGUGGCUUAAACUAGAAAGAAAUUUAUUUCUGUCUCGUGGAAAAGAAGGCAGAACUGGGGUGGGAGCUCUGCUGUGUCCUCAGGGACUGGCUGUCUUUCUGCUCCGCUUCCCUGAGCGUGUGGCUGUGUGACAAGUGCAUCUUCACUCCAGCCAGAAAGGGGGAGGAAAGAAGAAGCAGGCAGAAGGGACACAUGCUGCUUCUGAAGGAGUUGUGUGUACCAGGCCCAGUAC